GAUGAACGCUAGCUACAGGCUUAACACAUGCAAGUCGAGGGGCAGCAUGGUCUUAGCUUGCUAAGGCCGAUGGCGACCGGCGCACGGGUGAGUAACACGUAUCCAACCUGCCGUCUACUCUUGGACAGCCUUCUGAAAGGAAGAUUAAUACAAGAUGGCAUCAUGAGUCCGCAUGUUCACAUGAUUAAAGGUAUUCCGGUAGACGAUGGGGAUGCGUUCCAUUAGAUAGUAGGCGGGGUAACGGCCCACCUAGUCUUCGAUGGAUAGGGGUUCUGAGAGGAAGGUCCCCCACAUUGGAACUGAGACACGGUCCAAACUCCUACGGGAGGCAGCAGUGAGGAAUAUUGGUCAAUGGGCGCAGGCCUGAACCAGCCAAGUAGCGUGAAGGAUGACUGCCCUAUGGGCUGUAAACUUCUGUUAUAAAGGAAUAAAGUCGGGUAUGUAUACCCGUUUGCAUGUACUUUAUGAAUAAGGAUCGGCUAACUCCGUG
rnacentral:rRNA from 1 species